GACGAACGCUGGCGGCGUGCUUAACACAUGCAAGUCGAACGGAAAGGCCCUGCUUUUGUGGGGUGCUCGAGUGGCGAACGGGUGAGUAACACGUGAGUAACCUGCCCUUGACUUUGGGAUAACUUCAGGAAACUGGGGCUAAUACCGGAUAGGAGCUCCUGCUGCAUGGUGGGGGUUGGAAAGUUUCGGCGGUUGGGGAUGGACUCGCGGCUUAUCAGCUUGUUUGUGGGGUAGUGGCUUACCAAGGCUUUGACGGGUAGCCGGCCUGAGAGGGUGACCGGCCACAUUGGGACUGAGAUACGGCCCAGACUGCUACGGGAGGCAGCAGUGGGGAAUAUUGCACAAUGGGCGGAAGCCUGAUGCAGAAAAGCGGCGUGCGGGAUGACGGCCUUCGGGUUGUAAACAGAUUUCGACUGUGACGAAGAGUGAGUGACGGUAAUGGGUAAAGAAGCACCGGCUAACUACGUG
rnacentral:rRNA from 1 species